AGCCGAGCUCUCAGACCUGAUUUACCUCAGUGCCAACUGAUGCCAGAAAGAGAGAGAGUAAUAGAAAACUAAAAAGGAGGGAAAGAGAGAAAUCUCUGGAUGACUGUCAAGUACGUGAACUUCAGUGGCUGUCUGGGUGCUGCGUGAAGUCGAGAUAAAACUGCUCUGUCAGCAGCAGAAACUGAAGUCUCCCAUCACUCCAGUGUUGCUCAGCACUCCUGCCAAACUUAAUGGACCAAGACCAAAUGACAGGGAGACUUCGAGGCCUGAACCUGUAGGCUUUAGAUACUGGAAAACACCUGAAAAAACACCAUCCGUCCUCCAUCAGGCUUCGGGAUCCGUGAGCACUGAGGGAGGACGAAAUGGACCACAAGCCUGGAAUCCGAAAGCCGAGAUAGACACAUGCCACGCUGGACCACAUCCCAUGUUGAGAAAUCCCACAUGCAGGCGUGGAAGUGCGCCGGAGUCCUUCAGCUCCUCGAUAUCAUCCAUCACUAUCACUUCCAGGAAGGUCACGCACACAAACUCCAGGCCUCUGAGUCCAGCGAUGAAUAGCCUCGCCGAUGGACACAGAAAAGCUUUAGUGGUCAAAGUCACUGAACAGAGGACGAAAAGCACUUCCAGUCUGCCCAUCGCCUCGACCUCUGGCUCUGAUCAUGAAGAGAUGGACCAUGGUGUGGUCCUGAGAAGAAAGGCAACCAUUGUGAAAAUGACCGAACAGAGAGAGCGUUUCAGUCCAGUGAAAUACAGACACAGCUACACUGAAGGACUCCAUAAUGAAUCUAAAGUCAGUCCCUCACCAUUAAACCAACCGUUAACUAUAUCUCUAGAGCCAGGAGGAAACCAGUGGAGGUCCCAGCACAGAUCUAGCCUAUCUCUCUACCUCAACAACCCAAACGAUAGCAGCGCAGUAGGGGAGAGCAACACCAAAACACACAAGCCACCUCGAAGGCCUCUCAGCUGCGACGCAAGCCUGUUUAACCACACAGAACUUGGCAGUAAUGCAGUUAUACAGCCAGCGUUUCACAACAAGAGCUCUCCUGUUCCCCAGAAGACAAAUAUUGACCUUGUUAGUUCCAGCAGCAGCGAAGCAAGAAGGCGCUGGGCCUCCGGUGGCGAGGAUGGGAGCAAGAGGAAAGAGUGGGAUCGUGAGGAACCUAUUUCAGGAAUCAAUCCUCUCACGCUACUAAAAGCAGCAGAUAACUCGGCUGAUCUGAGCGCAGACGCCGUCCUGGCCCUGAACGCCGCUGCGGUUAUUGCCAACAUAAAGCUGCAGGCCCAGCAGAGACGAACUACAUCCCACACAGCAACAGCAGUGUGUUUAACAAAGGAUAGAGGGCAAAAUGAACACAGAGAGCUCAAAGAAGAGGCUGCUGGUGCUGAUGGAAGGAACAAAACAUGUCCAGCAGAUCAAUGUGUGGAUUUUGUCCCAUUCGAGUCCCAAAAUGACCUUUCUGAAACUGCUUUGGCUCCACUGUCACUUAGUGAGGCUUUAGUGAUCAGACGGCCCGAUUUCAUCCAGCGCUCACAGGCCAGGGUUCGAGCGCUCGAGAGGAGGUCGCAGGAGAGGCAGAACUCCCACAGCUCACCGCAGACAGUCGAGAGCGGAGGAAGCCUUGUGAAAUCCAAAGACAGAAGCAUCAUGGGAAAGAGUCUACAGCUGCGGUCCAGGAGGAGUUAUAACCAGCUGCCUGAGGUGAAGAAGAGGAGAGAGGAAGAAAAGAGGAGAAUAGAAGAGGAGAAAAGAAAACUGGCAUCUCGGACCAACAGGCUGCGGGCAGAGCUCUUUAAAAAGAAACUUCUGGAGCAGAUUUUGCAGAGGGGAGGAAAUCACUGACAUCGCCUUGGACUCGUGUUUCUCCUCACUCCACAGUUCUCAUGCCGGCCCUUGAAAAAUAUGACAUGACAUUAGUUAGAAAUGUUAUGGAAUAGUUCCUUCCAGAACGAAUGUGCCUCAAACAUGGACUGCAGCCUCAUUUCUGUGGCUCUGGAUUACAUCUUCUCUCUCUUUACAUACAUUACUGGUUAAACAUUUUGAAUAAUUAUGGUUUUAAUGUUACAGCUAG
ensembl:lncRNA